UACGUAGGGUGCAAGCGUUAAUCGGAAUUACUGGGCGUAAAGCGUGCGCAGGCGGUUCGCUAAGACAGAUGUGAAAUCCCCGGGCUUAACCUGGGAACUGCAUUUGUGACUGGCGGGCUAGAGUAUGGCAGAGGGGGGUGGAAUGCCGCGUGUAGCAGUGAAAUGCGUAGAGAUGCGGCGGAACACCGAUGGCGAAGGCAGCCCCCUGGGCUGAGAUUGACGCUCAGGCACGAAAGCGUGGGGAGCAAACAGG
rnacentral:rRNA from 1 species